GAUGAACGCUGGCGGCGUGCCUAAUACAUGCAAGUCGAGCGAACAGACGAGGAGCUUGCUCCUCUGACGUUAGCGGCGGACGGGUGAGUAACACGUGGAUAACCUACCUAUAAGACUGGGAUAACUUCGGGAAACCGGAGCUAAUACCGGAUAACAUGUUGAACCGCAUGGUUCAACAGUGAAAGACGGUCUUGCUGUCACUUAUAGAUGGAUCCGCGCCGCAUUAGCUAGUUGGUAAGGUAACGGCUUACCAAGGCAACGUUGCGUAGCCGACCUGAGAGGGUGAUCGGCCACACUGGAACUGAGACACGGUCCAGACUCCUACGGGAGGCAGCAGUAGGGAAUCUUCCGCAAUGGGCGAAAGCCUGACGGAGCAACGCCGCGUGAGUGAAGAAGGUCUUCGGAUCGUAAAACUCUGUUAUUAGGGAAGAACAAAUGUGUAAGUAACUAUGCACGUCUUGACGGUACCUAAUCAGAAAGCCACGGCUAACUACGUG
rnacentral:rRNA from 1 species